GGUUUUCCAUGGGCCGCUUGAAAUGAUUAGCCUGGACAGCCUGCCAUAAUGCCUCUAAGCCUUCAGGGAAUACUCUAUGACUAGGCUGUUGUUUGACCCUGCAUUCCUGAAUUACCACCAAAGUGCCAUAGGAAAGCUACUAAAAGGCUUGCUGAAUAAAGGUUUGCUUGCUUAAAAGAUAAUUCAUACAACGCAGAUUGCAAUAGCCCUUCUGAAGCUGAAGCUGUCAAAACCAGCACAGAACUGCCAAGCUGCUCUUCACUCUCUAUCACUGCAAGUAAGCUACAAAAGGGAUUCGUGCAUGGAAACCAGACAGUGUUUCUCUCCUCCAUAGAUGCCUGCUCAACCAUUCCUGGAUACAAUAUUACCUGCUCUAGAAGCUACUAUCAUGGAUCACACAGUGCCUGCUCCUGGCAAACAGCAAACCACCAGUGCCUGCAUGGAAAUACAAGUGUGCAGAAAUCUGGCGACACAGCAAUAUGCCCAUCCAUGUGUGUGCAUCCUUUGGAGAGCCCAGAGGCUGAUCAAAAGCAGAAACUCUAGAAUAAAUUUCCUAUUUUGUCUCCAGUACUCAAAAAGUAUUAUUUCAGCCAAUAUGUAUCUUAUAUAUCACAAUGGAGAUUAUGCUUCAUUCUCUAACAGCAGAUCAAGCACAAGACUAAGGAGUGGUUCCACACUUUGCGCAGCAUUCAUGUUUACCACAGAUACACUAAUGUUGUGCUAGUCUUUCCUUUGGCAAAUACAAAGUGUAAGUGACAGAUCUGUAUGCACAGCCAUCAGACAUCUACCAAGUAAUCAGGGCUCCUGGGAAUGCCAAUAUAGAUAUUUCAGGAUGUUCAUCUGACAAUUCCACUUAAGGAGUUUGCUGAAGGAAACCACCCAGAGCAAACAUGUUUGGAGUGUGAGAUGCAAAGCCAUUUUGUAUAGUAUACCUACUCAGCCAUAUUGCUGUGGCUAAGCUGAAAUUUGAAGCUGCAUAGCAACUUAUCAAAUAUAAUUAAUGAAAUACCAAAUCUCAGUGAUGCAGGGCAGAUACAGAAAAAACAAAAAAGUCAACCUUCCCAAAGAAUGAGAGUAUUCAAUUUCAUAUGGAAAGUAGAGAAUAGGUUACAUAAAGAUCUUUUGCAUGGUUCAAGCAAAUAGCUAUCCUCUGCUGCAAGUGAGACAAGGCCAAAGCUUUUAUCAUGUUUACAGGUAUUAUGGCAAUUCACAAACAAAUAAAUGGAAACAAAUAAAUAUUUUCCCUUCAUAUACAGUGGUACCUUGGGUUACAGAUA